rnacentral:tRNA from 1 species
AUUUAUAUAGUUUAUUUUAAAAUAAUUCAUUUUCAAUGAUUAGAAAAGAUUCCUUUAUAAAUA